UUCUUUAAAUGAGGACUAGUAUCAAUGGCAUCACGAGGAUCCUACUGUCUCCCCCCUCUAAUCAGUGAAACUGAUCUCUCCGUGAAGAAGCGGGGAUAUACAUAUAAGACGAGAAGACCCCAUGGAGCUUUAAACCCGACAGCACCCGCUUAUUUUAAGCCCAAUUAUACGCCCGUACCUGUCUGCUCGGUUUUAGGUUGGGGUGACCACGGAGUAUAAAGUAACCUCCAUGAAGAAAGGGGUAAGUACCCUUAUUAGAGAAAAACACUUCCAAAAACUAACAAAUUAAUUUUUAAUGAUCCGAUAUUCGAUCAACGAACCAAGUUACCCUGGGGAUAACAGCGCAAUCCACCUCGAGAGCUCCUAUCGACAGG
rnacentral:rRNA from 1 species